CGGGAAACCGGAGCUAAUACCGAUAAUAUUUUGAACCGCAUGGUUCAAAGUGAAAGACGGUCUUGCUGUCACUUAUAGAUGGAUCCGCGCUGCAUUAGCUAGUUGGUAAGGUAACGGCUUACCAAGGCAACGAUGCAUAGCCGACCUGAGAGGGUGAUCGGCCACACUGGAACUGAGACACGGUCCAGACUCCUACGGGAGGCAGCAGCC
rnacentral:rRNA from 1 species